GACAGAGGGUGCAAACGUUGUUCGGAAUUACUGGGCGUAAAGCGCGUGUAGGCGGUUAUGCAAGUCGGGUGUGAAAGCCCGGAGCUCAACUCCGGAAGUGCAUUCGAUACUGCGUAGCUAGAGUACUGGAGAGGAUGGUGGAACUCUCGGUGUAGAGGUGAAAUUCGUAGAUAUCUGGAGGAACACCGGUGGCGAAGGCGGCAUCCUGGACCGGCAUUGACGCUGAGGCGCGAAAGCCAGGGGAGCAA
rnacentral:rRNA from 1 species